GAUUCGAUAAACCUCUAGUGAGUAGCGUAAGUCAUUUUGAUAAAUGAAGAUUUGCUUUCUUAGCAAGUGUCUGAA
rnacentral:ribozyme from 1 species